GGUGUCAUACCAGGUGAUCAAAUGCACCUACCCUGUGACAUUUGCAAAACUGAGUAAUAGAAAUGUAGAUUGAGUGUCAACCGAGGUGUCGAUUGAGAGUAUCGAUCAAGGGUAUCGAUUGGCACUCGACCAUGGAUGUCUUUAGUACACAUAAUCCAGCUUAUCUUUAGUGGGUGAAAUUGUUGCAAUGUUUGAUAAAAAUCAAACUUGCCAUUAGUUGCAAAUUAAAAAGCUAACCUCAUAAUAAUAUUAUUAUGUGACCUCUCUGGACAGUACCAAUAGUUUUAGAGUUUCAUGUCUUGGUCUUUUGAGCAGUAGACAAUUAAAUGCCAAUUAAAAACGGACUAGCGGAAAUUUGCUCAUGAAUUUUGUUUUUAUCCUUCAGCUAACCAUUCUAGAAGAACUGAAGAUAUAAACAGAAUAAAUUGGGAGAGGAUACAAUAUACAACGCUGUAGUUCAUAGUCAACUCAGAUGCAGUUGCAGUGCUCCAAAGUCUGCAAAGUCAUCACAACAUUUUGGAAAAUAAAGAAAAAGAUAACACUACUGAUCAUGAAGAGAUCCGUGGAAAUUACACAGGAACAGCAAUAUUCCCAAAGACAAAUGCGGACAAGCAAUGGUUGACAGGAUGGACUUAUCCAGUGAAGAUGCAUUGAUUAAUAUCGUCAACGCCUUAGACUUUGUUAAAAUGUGUCUUCCCUAGAAAGCAUGGGGAUUCAGUUGGCAUUGACCCCKAAAAGGCAGUUUAACCACUUUGAUGAGAAAGAAGUGGAAAACACUGUAUUCCAUUCCACUUAUAAUGCAAGAAUUAGCAAGUGCAAGCAGCAGAAAAGGAGAAUUGCCAAAACAUUAGGAGUUCCAUGCAACGGACCGUACGUGCCAUCUGAAAAGGACGCUUUUACACUAGUUGACUUUUGUGCAAAGUUUGCCAUAUCUUUCCCGAAAUUUUGCGUUUAUCCUCUUUAUUGUCUAGUCUGGUCUCGUAAAUUUAAGGAACUGAGAAUUUAGCCAUAGUACUUCAAUGUUAGAUAAAUGCGCUUUAUACCAUGGAAGAUUUGUUGACUGUUGUUUUCACGAUAGAUAGAACAAUGUUUUCCUUAUGAUCAGUCGCAUUACGUGUAGUUUGAAACCAAGUCUGUAACGUGCCUUUUUGAAACCUGAAGCCCAAAAAAUUUAUGUAAGGUACUUGAAGGUAUUUACUCUUGAGAAAAACGGGAAAAAAAAUUAAAACUGAAAUGAA